rnacentral:ncRNA from 1 species
CCCCGACAAAAGCAAACUGUGAGUAAUCGCAGGACGCAAAGUCACGGGCCCCAUCAGCAGCUUUGUUUAAUCUUAAAAAUAGGGGUAGCCGGAUUACCAAA